rnacentral:rRNA from 1 species
GAAAGUAAAGAAGGGCGCAUGGCGGAUGCCUUGGCUCUCGGAGGCGAUGAAGGACGUGAUAAGCUGCGAUAAGCUCCGGGGAGGUGCAAAUAACCUUUGAUCCGGGGAUUUCCGAAUGGGACAACCCGGCGUGUUGAAGACACGCCACCUGAUCAUUUCAGGAGCUAACGCAGGGAACUGAAACAUCUUAGUACCUGCAGGAAAAGAAAAUAACAAUGAUUCCCCCAGUAGUGGCGAGCGAACGGGGAAUAGCCCAAACCGUUCAUGUUACGGCAUGAUCGGGGUUGUAGGACUACGUCGUUGCAUGAAGACAUCGGAGAAGAACUUUCUGGAAAGAAAGACCAUAGAGCAUGACAGUUGCGUAUUCGUAUGUUGUCGAAGCAUAGUAGUAUCCUGAGUAGCGCGGAGCACGAGGAAUUCUGCGUGAAUCUGCCGGGACCAUCCGGUAAGGCUAAAUACUCCCGAGAGACCGAUAGCGAACCAGUACCGUGAGGGAAAGGUGAAAAGAACUUCGAACAGAAGAGUGAAAUAGUUCCUGAAACCGUGCGCCUACAAGCGGUCGGAGCUGCUUAAAGCAGUGACGGCGUGCCUUUUGCAUAAUGAACCUACGAGUUGCCUUUGCCGGCAAGGUUAAGUGUGACGACACACGUAUCCGAAGCGAAAGCGAGUCUGAAGAGGGCGUAUAGUCGGCAGUGGCAGACGCGAAACCAAGUGAUCUACCCUUGGCCAGGUUGAAGGCUGGGUAACACCAGCUGGAGGACCGCACCAAUAAGCGUUGAAAAGCUUCUGGAUGAGCUGAGGGUAGGGGUGAAAGGCUAAUCAAACUUGGAGAUAGCUCGUACUCCCCGAAAUGCAUUUAGGUGCAGCCUUGUGGGUUACUGAUGUGAGGUAGAGCGACUGAUAAGAUGCGAGGGCUUCACCGCCUAUCAAGUCUUGACAAACUCCGAAUGCGCAUCAGUUUUACCUCAGGAGUGAGGGCAUGGGUGCUAAGGUCCGUGCCCGAGAGGAGAAGAAUCCGGACCACCUGCUAAGGUCCCGAAAUGACAGCUAAGUUAAACUAACGAAGUCUGACUGCUAAGACAGCUAGGAUGUUGGCUUGGAAGCAGCCAUUCAUUUAAAGAGUGCGUAACAGCUCACUAGUCGAGGAGUUUGGCGUGGAUAAUAAUCGGGCAUUAAGCAAUUUACCGAAGCUAUGGGAUCAGUAAUGAUCGGUAGGGGAGCAUUCCACUCUGCGUCGAAGGUGAAGCGUGAGCUUUGCUGGAGCGUGUGGAAAAGCAAAUGUAGGUAUAAGUAACGAUAAAGGGGGUGAGAAACCCCCUCGCCGAAAGACUAAGGUUUCCUGAUCAACGCUAAUCGGAUCAGGGUAAGUCGGGUCCUAAGGCUCAGCCGAAGGGCGAUGCCGAUGGCAGAAACGGUUAAUAUUCCGUUACUACCUCCAGGAGUGAUGUGGAGACGCAGUAGUGACAAUGCCGCCAUCUGACGGAAUAGAUGGUUGAAGGGUGUAGAUGUUGAUCUUGGCAGGCAAAUCCACCAUGAGAAUCGAACCUGAUAGUAUGCCGCGUCCCUCGGGACAAGGCAAUAGUGCAUGUAAUCAUGCUGCCAAGAAAAUCCGCUAAACUAAAUCCUGUAGGUACCCGUACCGUAAACGGACACACGUAGUCGGGAUGAAUAUUCUAAGGCGCUUGAGUGAUUCACGGUUAAGGAACUAGGCAAACUGACCCUGUAACUUCGGGAUAAAGGGUCCCUACCCGGUGACGGGAGGGCGCAGAGAAUAGGUCCAGGCAACUGUUUAACAAAAACACAGGGCUGUGCGAAUAUGAAAGUAGAAGUAUACAGCCUGACACCUGCCCGGUGCUGGAAGGUUAAGAGGAGAUGUCAUCGCAAGAGAAGCAUUGAAUUGAAGCCCCAGUAAACGGCGGCCGUAACUAUAACGGUCCUAAGGUAGCGAAAUUCCUUGUCGGGU